CCUUCGCUGAUGAGUAACAGUUUACUUUCGUUCUUCUGAGCUUGCUGAAGCAACACGUAGUGAUCUGAGGAGG
rnacentral:snoRNA from 1 species